GCUAGGUGUGGUGGCACACACCUGUAAUCCCAGCAGCCCAGGAGGCUGAGGCAGGAGGAUCAUGAGUUCAAAGCCAGCCGCAGCAACUUAGCAAGGCCCUAAGCAACUCAGUGAGACCCUAUCUCUU
rnacentral:sRNA from 1 species